GCGUUCAUGGCGAAGGUGGCGCUCAGCGCGUCGAGCGUGGUGCGCGCGGCGGGGUCGGUGACGCGACCGCGGAUCGUCCGCAGGAACGCG
rnacentral:tRNA from 1 species